rfam:Cricetulus griseus cell line CHO-K1, whole genome shotgun sequence.
GUGAAGCCCCUGUUGAGGGCCCUACCCUUCCUGGGGAGUGAAGGGUGUAUGGGGUGGGGGGAUAGGUCAGGUUGGGAUAGGAGGGGUGAGGGUGAGUGGAGGGAGAGGAAGAAGGGAUUGACAUGUGAAACAAGCUUGUUCCUAAUUUGAACAAAUUUAAAAAAAGAAAGUGGGUCCUCCCCAUCAUUCUUACAUUUUGGGUUUUAAGCUGGAGGUAUCAGAACAGUUACCACAGGGAUAACUGUCUUAUGAUGGCCAAGCGUUCAUAGCGACAUCACUUUUUGAUGCUUCGAUGUCAGCUCUUCCUGUCAUUGUGAAGCAGAAUUCACCAAGUGUUGGAUUGUUCACCCUCUGAUAGGGAACGUUAGCUGGAUUUAGACAGUCAUGAGACAGGUUAGUGUUAC